CUACGGGCGGCAGCAGUGGGGAAUAUUGCACAAUGGAGGAAACUCUGAUGCAGCAACGCCGCGUGGAGGAUGACACUUUUCGGUGUGUAAACUCCUUUUAUAUGUCAAGAAAAUGACGGUAGCAUAUGAAUAAGCACCGGCUAACUCCGUGCCAGCAGCCGCGGUAAUACGGAGGGUGCAAGCGUUACUCGGAAUCACUGGGCGUAAAGGACGCGUAGGCGGGUUGGAAAGUCAGGUGUGAAAUCCUACAGCUUAACUGUAGAACUGCACUUGAAACUUCUAAUCUAGAGUAUGGGAGGGGGAGAUGGAAUUAGUGGUGUAGGGGUAAAAUCCGUAGAUAUCACUAGGAAUACCUAAAGCGAAGGCGAUCUCCUGGAACAUUACUGACGCUAAGGCGUGAAAGCGUGGGGAGCAAACAGGAUUAGAUACCCCCGUAGUC
rnacentral:rRNA from 1 species